GUCUUUAAGAAUUUAAUUUAAAGUCAAAUCUGCCCAAUGAUUUUUUAAAUGGCUGCAGAAUUUUAACUGUACAAAGGUAGCAUAAUAAUUUGUUUUUUAAUUAAAAACUAGAAUGAAAGAUUUAAUGAAAUAUAAACUGUUUCAAUUAAAUUUUUAAAUUAAAUUUUUUAUUUAAGUAAAAAAACUUAAAUAAAAUUUAAAGACGAUAAGACCCUAUAGAAUUUUAUUAAUAUUAUUUAUUUUUAAAAAAUAUUAAUUUUAUUGGGGUAAUAAAAAAAUUUAAAAAAUUUUUUUUUAAAAAUUAACAUUUUUUAAUGAAUUAAUUUUUCUUAAUUUUUAAAUUAAAAAAAUUAAUUACCUUAGGGAUAACAGCAUAAUUUUUUUUGAAAGAUCUUAUUUAUAAAAAAGUUUAU
rnacentral:rRNA from 1 species